ACACGCAUGACACACUGCAUAUCAAUAAGCGGAGGAAAAGAAACUAACAUAGGAUUCCCUCAGUAACGGCGAGUGAAGCGGGAAGAGCUCAAAUUUGAAAUCUUCAAGGUUUUACCUUGACGAAAUAUUGUAGUUUAAAGAAGUGUUUUCUGUUGAAGUUUUGGUAAAAGUUCUUUGGAAAUAGGACAUCAUAGAGGGUGAGAAUCCCGUAUUUGACCAUUAUUUUCCAGCUGUGUGAUACACUUUCAAAGAGUCGGAUUGUUUGGGAAUGCAGUCCAAAAUGGGUGGUAAAUUUCAUCUAAAGCUAAAUACUGGCGAGAGACCGAUAGCGAACAAGUACCGUGAGGGAAAGAUGAAAAGAACUUUGAAAAGAGAGUUAAACAGUACGUGAAAUUGUCAAAAGGGAAGCGUUUGACACCAGUGUUGUUUUCUCGAAAAUCAAUUAAAAAAUGAUUGGAUUUUGUGUUGUAUUGACUUCAUCAGCUUUCUGCACUCUUUUCUUAUCUUUUUUAAUGCACUUUUCGUUUAACAAGUCAACAUCAAUUUCUUUUGUUGUAAAAGAGUCAUUGGAAGGUGGCUUUCUUUUCGGAGAAAGUGUUUAUAGCCUUUGGCUUCUGCAAUCGGAGAGAUUGAGGUCUGCAGCGUAGAUCCUUCGGGGUUAGAUACAUUUGUGCUAAGUUAUAGCCUUUCAUAGACAACUUGUUGACUAUGAUCAGUCAUGUAGCUUACUCGCUUAUGCUAUUUUACCUACGCUUAGGAUGUUGAAGACUCUACAGAGAUA
rnacentral:rRNA from 1 species